GUGCUCACUUGGGCAGCACAUACACUAAAAUCGGAAUGAUACAGAGAUUAGCAUGGGCCCUGCGCAUGAAUGACAUGCAAAUUUGUGAAGCAUUCCAUAUUUUU
ensembl:snRNA U6 U6 spliceosomal RNA